AAGGCAUCCGAAUGGGAUUAAAGAUUUAUCGGUGAUGGAUGGGGAUGCGUCUGAUUAGCUUGUUGGCGGGGUAACGGCCCACCAAGGCUACGAUCAGUAGGGGUUCUGAGAGGAAGGUCCCCCACAUUGGAACUGAGACACGGUCCAAACUCCUACGGGAGGCAGGCAGUGAGGAAUAUUGGUCAAUGGGCGGAAGUCUGAACCAGCCAAGUAGCGUGCAGGAUGACGGCCCUAUGGGUUGUAAACUGCUUUUAUGUGGGAAUAAAGUGAGGGACGUGUCCCUUUUUGUAGGUACCACAUGAAUAAGGACCGGCUAAUUCCGUG
rnacentral:rRNA from 1 species